ACAAAACAAAACAAAACCUUGGUACUGGUCAAGAAUGAUUGGUCAGGGUAGUCCAAAUGACUCCCCCAAAAUACAGAUUUUUAAUGUAGCCAUUGGUUGCCUCUCAGAGGUUAAGAUUGGUCCCUAUUGAUGAAAACACCACACACUUAGGGUACUUGACCCAGAUGACCCAAGCUGGAUCUGAUCUGAAAGCAUCUUUCUUAUGGUCUAGCCUUUCCUAUGGUUCCAGAAAAUACUAUGCAAGCUGCCAAGAGAGGGAAGCAAUUAAACGGUUCUUCCCAGAUGAAGCACCUAUGAACCAUGACAACGAUCAGAAAACUAUCCAGAAAUGUGCAAUGUGUGAAGCUAACAUGUUCGUGGUAACCAAGCUGUCUAGGUGGACGGAAGGUCCACUCAACAUCAGGAAAGUCAUAUUGAUACUACAAACCUAGCCAGCUUUCCACGGCUAGUAAAAUCAUAGGUAUUAGAAAAGAGUCAGCUACCAUCACUUUGUUAGACCAAUUUCUUACUACACUCUAAACCUUAUCCUUAUACCCACAGAUAAUGUAGCUACCAGCCCUCAUCAAAGAAGCCUCUCUUUACAGCAAAUGGAGAUUAUCAGAGAAAGCCACAACUGCACGCAAUGCAGAGGCCAACAGAAUGUGGUGAGCACAGCCCCUGCAGAUACAGCUAUAUCACAAUUCCUGUAGCUGUCAGGGGAGAGGCAGUGAAAAAGAUUAUUAAAGUCAGACCGCCAGGAGCCUGCUGUGAAACACUCUCUCCUAGAAAUGGCUGCACUCACUGGAUUGGAACUAUGGCACUAUCAAUGGGUCCAGUCCACCCGUAGCUGUUCCUCUCUCCAGCCGGGGCUUGUGGAGAUCAAGCUGUCAGGCAUUCCCAGGACACACCCCAAAGGCGGCCCCCAUCAUCAAGGUCACACCAUCUUCUCCCUAAACCCAGUACUCCUUCCUCUCUCACAGCCUUAUGGGAACAAGAGGAAGCCUGACUGCAACUAUAUAUCAUGGACUGCCUGGCCUGGAACCUUUCUCCUUCCUCUGACACACAUCUGAAGUGACUCCCUCACUCUGCCACGUGGACCUGCGCCCUCCUGAGAGCUGCCACCAUGCUGCCUAUGACACUGGGACCUAGUAUCUCAGAGACUAGGCCGUGCCUUCUGUUUGUCUGUCAAUGUCUCUCUUAGUAAUUAUCUUAUCUCUCCUCAAACCCUGAAUAUCAGUCUCCACUGGUGAGGUUUUCAGGUUCA